AGUGAACGCUGGCGGUAGGCCUAACACAUGCAAGUCGAACGGCAGCACAGUAAGAGCUUGCUCUUACGGGUGGCGAGUGGCGGACGGGUGAGGAAUACAUCGGAAUCUACUUUUUCGUGGGGGAUAACGUAGGGAAACUUACGCUAAUACCGCAUACGACCUACGGGUGAAAGCAGGGGAUCUUCGGACCUUGCGCGAUUGAAUGAGCCGAUGUCGGAUUGGCUAGUUGGCGGGGUAAAGGCCCACCAAGGCGACGAUCCGUAGCUGGUCUGAGAGGAUGAUCACCCACACUGGAACGGAGACACGGUCCAGACUCCUACGGGAGGCAGCAGUGGGGAAUAUUGGACAAUGGGCGCAAGCCUGAUCCAGCCAUACCGCGUGGGUGAAGAAGGCCUUCGGGUUGUAAAGCCCUUUUGUUGGGAAAGAAAAGCAGCAGGUUAAUACCCCGCUGUUCUGACGGUACCCAAAGAAUAAGCACCGGCUAACUUCGUG
rnacentral:rRNA from 1 species